rnacentral:SRP_RNA from 1 species
GCUGGGCAUGGUGGCUCAUGCCUGUAAUCCCAGCACUUUGGGAGGCUGAGGCGGGUGGAUCACUUGAGGUCAGGAGUUCGAGCCCAGCCUGGCCAACAUGGUGAAACCCCGUCUCUA